GAAAACUCCUGGAAGAAGUCAAGUCAUAAGCUGGAUGUGCUCGGUGAGGUGAGGUUGCAUAGUGGCUUCCAGUUUGAUGGUGAAGAAAACUAGGUGUUCGCAUCAGGUCAUCUAAAUACCCUUAGCCCUGGACAGAUUUGAGUGGCCCUGAAAACGUCUGCUCCCUGGCUGCCCUUCCUCUGUGCUCCUUUAUAGAUCAACCCUCCCACUGCUAGACCCUGGCCUGGGAACUACCUCUGGAGGGGCCUUUGCUGAGCACUGCUCUCAUCCACUACAUGCUGAUUUUGGAGUUCAACAUUGGGAAGUGUCUGACCCCAAGAUCAUCAUCAAUCCUAAAUGAAAUCUGUGAAACUCUGGAAACAGCUAAAUUUGAGGGUUGACUGAGCUCCCGCCUAGAUGUCCUGCCAGCAAACCCAGCAGCCAUGCCAGCCUUCUCUUAAAGGGCCCACAACUAAGUGCCCCCCAAAGUGUCCCCCCAAGGACCCUCCCAAGAUGCCCUGCUCCAGUCUCUUCCUGCUGUGGCCCUAGCACCAGGGGUGUUGUGGUCUCAACUAACAGUGGCAUCAGAGCUCCAGCUGUUGCCAUUGCUUUGGGCCUGCUCCCCGCCUGGGCUCUGAGCAUCAGUUGAGUGACUGAGAGGCCAGUGACUGACCCUAGCCUUGUGCUUCUCUUCCUCAGUCCCUUUCCAUCCCUGAUGCGCUCUUACCUGC
rnacentral:lncRNA from 1 species